rnacentral:rRNA from 1 species
AGAGUUUGAUCCUGGCUCAGAUUGAACGCUGGCGGCGUGGCUAAAUCAUGCAAGUCGAACGAGAACCCAGCAAUGGGGGACAGUGGCGGAAGGGCGAGUAAUGGAUUUCCACGUGCCCCGAGGUGGGGGAUAGGCAGGGGAAACUCUGCGUAAUAUCCCAUGUGAUCUCCGGAUGAAAGGCUUCGGUCGCCUUGGGAUCGGGAAAUCUCCUAUCAGGUAGUUGGUGAGGUAAUGGCUCACCAAGCCAAUGACGGGUAGCGGGUGUGAGAGCACGGCCCGCCGCAUCGGGACUGAGACACGGCCCAGACUCCUACGGGAGGCAGCAGUGGGGAAUUUUCCGCAAUGGGCGCAAGCCUGACGGAGCAAUACCGCGUGAGGGACGAAGGUCUGUGGAUUGUAAACCUCUUUUGUCAGGGACGAUAAUGACGGUACCUGACGAAUAAGCAUCGGCUAACUACGUGCCAGCCGCCGCGGUAAUUC